CUCAGGACGAACGCUUGCGGCGUGCCUAAGAAAUGCAAGUCGAGCGGACAGUAGCAAUACUGUUAGCGGCGAACGGUCGCGUAACACGUAGGCAACCUGUCCCAAAGACCGGGAUAACAGGGGGAAACUCUUGCUAAUACCGGAUGUGACCACUUUCUCACCUGGGAGAGUGCUUAAACCGAGCAAUCGGCUUUGGGAGGGGCCUGCGGCCUAUCAGCUAGAUGGUGGGGUAAUGGCCUACCAUGGCGACGACGGGUAGCUGGUCUGAGAGGAUGGUCAGCCGGACUGGGACUGAGACACGGCCCAGACUCCUACGGGGGGCAGCAAUUAGGAAUCUUGCACAAUGGGGGAAACCCUGAUGCAGCGACGCCGCGUGAGGGAUGACGGCCUUCGGGUUGUAAACCUCUUUUAACGAGGAAGAAACAAAUGACGGUACUCGUUGAAUAAGCCCCGGCUAACUCCGUGCCAGCAGCCGCGGUAAUACGGAGGGGGCGAGCGUUGUCCGAAGUUACUGGGCGUAAAGCGCGCGUAGGCGGGGAACCAAGUCCGCUGUGAAAGCCUGAGGCUUAACCUCAGCGGGUCGGUGGAUACUGGUUCUCUUGAAGGUGCUAGGGGGAGAUGGAAUUACAGGUGUAGCGGUGAAAUGCGUAGAUAUCUGUAGGAACACCAGUGGCGAAGGCGGUCUCCUGGGGCAUUCUUGACGCUGAGGCGCGAAAGCUGGGGGAGCGAACGGGAUUAGAUACCCCGGUAGUCCCAGCCCUAAACGAUGGAUACUAGGUGUCGGGGGUAUCGACCCCUCCGGUGCCGUCGCUAACGCAGUAAGUAUCCCGCCUGGGGAGUAC
rnacentral:rRNA from 1 species